UGUAGUUUCAUCUCCCUCAGCUAAAAUGGUAAGGGUGUGACAGAUCAGCAGAGGUCAGGUGAGACUGGAUGGAAGGGGAGGAGUUGCUCUCAUUUGGAAUUUUUUUUUUUUUCAGUAACAAAACUGGUCACACCUCUAAUAGCCAGACUCAGCUGUGUUUUCAGGUAAUGUUAAUAACAGGUUGCUAGAGUGCUUAGCUUGUUCAAUCCAUUCAGUAAUUAGAGCUGGUGCUGAAGUCAUAAAGAACGGAAUGAGGCUUUAAUGAACACAUUAAUUUGUCUGCAAGUACAGCUCUGCAGAGCGUCCUCACAAAUGGCAGUCACCCAACAGGGCAGGUCCAUGUGGCAGCUGAGGACAAAACCCCAACAUUUAAGUGACCAUCAAGAAGAUCAGUUCAGCAGUGCAAGCCAAGGAAAUUAAAGCUAGCAACUCUACAGCUAGAUUAGUUAUUUUUCAAAAUCUCAAAGUGCUGAGAACUUUGUGUCUUUAUUCAGUGUUAAGGCUGAUACUUCCAGCAAUAUUCACACACUGAGGCAAUGUUUUUAAUGACUCAGGGGAAGAAGCUGUCUACUGAAUCACCAGUAUCCAAACCUGAAGAACCCAACUGCUUUCUGUAAAUCUGAAUAUAAUUAAGCAUAGUCUUGUUCUUUUUGUUAGACAUGAAACAACCAUAGAUGGUGAGACACCACUUACAUAACAGUAAAAAUAUUACUUGUUUUAGUUUUCUACCCCAGAAUCUGGAACCUACAAUGUAUUGAAGUGUGUUGUUUAUAAGGACUGAGAAGAGGAUAAAACAAAUAUCUAGAAGAAACGUACACCCUAAACAUGCAAACAACAUUUCUGCUCAAGAAACUCCUAAACCAGAUGUUGUUAGAAGCUGGAAAAAUAUUCUAGAGGUAAAACCAUGCAAGCUUGUGCUGUUCUUAAUCCAUUGACCGUUGUCAAACCAUGGAGUAACGGGAGCUUUGAUAUGAUCUAGUGUUGUCAGCACUCUCCAUGUUCUUUGAACACGACAAGCAGUUACAUCAGAUUAGAAGAAGAGACAGUGGGUGUCCCAUAUUGUCCCAAAAAUAAAAAAAGCACCAGGUAAACAUUGCAUGAGGACAUGAUUGAUGCCAGAAGAACAGAGGGUGGAAGGUCAAGGAAAGCAUUUGUUACAAGAGCUGUUCUGCAAAUAAUCUGAGAUGUGCCAGAACAUCAGCAGAGUCAUAGGAAUUAGCCAAUACUUGCCUGCUGAAGUGUUUGCAGUAGCUGCUUGCGAAGAGGAAACAUUUUUUUGGCUGUGUAGGUGACUUUCAUCACAUCUUCCAGACUGAGGUGUAGAACAGCUGUAGAGAUCCAGAAAGAAGGACCCUGAGGCCUUCAGCUUAAGCUCCAGUUCUGUGUUUAUGCCUGUGUGGAAUAGAUCCCAUUACAUUGACCUGAAUCUAAACAAGAUUACAUGAAAUUAAA